rnacentral:pre_miRNA from 1 species
UCAUGUACUUUGGAUUUCAAAUUGUGUGGUUGCAAGAGGGUCAUUUAAAAUGACUCAAAAGUUAAAAAAAAUAAAUUUAUUGAACUUUAUGACUAGUUUAAACCAUCCAAUUUGACAUCUUAUGAGUAAGAGUGAUUGUAACCUUUUUGUAAUAAAAACAAGAUAUUGUAUACAAUGAGACUAUUGAUAUUUUAUUAUAAGAAUGUCACAAUCACUUUUACUUAUUAGAUGUCAAAUUAGAUGGCUUGCGUUAAUCAUGGAGUUCGGAAUUUUUUUUUUUUAACUUUAGAUCUUUUUGAAGACGUCGUUACAACUACUCAUUUUGAAAUUCAAAGGAUAUGA